CUCUUGGCAGCCUUACUUCAGUAUAUUUUUGGACGAUAGCUGUCAUUUAUAACUCUGCAGGUUUGUGAAUUACAGUGCCCCUGAGUUCCUUUCUUCAACUCGCUUUCUUGUGAGCUGGCCGCAACACCGCAGGAUGGCUUCAGGCCCUAAUCUGGUUCCGGCACGGCACGCUGAGCCUUUGGUUAAUUCCUCUUCCUGGUGGGAAAUGAGAGUUAAAUUUGCCCGUCCA